rnacentral:rRNA from 1 species
AACGCGAAGAACCUUACCUACUCUUGACAUCCACGGAAUUUAGCAGAGAUGCUUUAGUGCCUUCGGGAACCGUGAGACAGGUGCUGCAUGGCUGUCGUCAGCUCGUGUUGUGAAAUGUUGGGUUAAGUCCCGCAACGAGCGCAACCCUUAUCCUUUGUUGCCAGCGGUUCGGCCGGGAACUCAAAGGAGACUGCCAGUGAUAAACUGGAGGAAGGUGGGGAUGACGUCAAGUCAUCAUGGCCCUUACGAGUAGGGCUACACACGUGCUACAAUGGCAUAUACAAAGAGAAGCGACCUCGCGAGAGCAAGCGGACCUCAUAAAGUAUGUCGUAGUCCGGAUUGGAGUCUGCAACUCGACUCCAUGAAGUCGGAAUCGCUAGUAAUCGUAGAUCAGAAUGCUACGGUGAAUACGUUCCCGGGUCUUGUACACACCG